rnacentral:misc_RNA from 1 species
AAGCAAGCACUACACAAGUCAACCGUCGUCGCAGCUGAUCGUACUAGCGUACUAGUCGGCAGCAAGGAGCAAGUUUUGUGCCUACGUUGUCGGGCCUCUUUUGUCCCGCAUAACGUUGGUACAGCAUAAUCACUAUGGGAAACAUCCUGCUUACGUCGCCUCUGAGCACAGCGGCAACGUCUUUCGCAAAACGAAAGCGGAAAUCCACGGACGAUGAUUCCUCCGGACAAGACUCGGAGUGGGCCUCGGCGCCGAAAAGAAAGAAGCUCAUGACUACAUCACAGUACAUCUACCGCACGCUGUUCCUGGAAGGACAAAACAGCGACGUGACCAUCGUGGCCUUGGGAAUCGAUUGGUGCCUCCACAAGGUCUACCUCUGUCAGUCUCCAUAUUUUGCAAGCAUGUUCUGUGGUGAUUGGAAAGAGAAAGAAGAAGGUGUUGUGGAGGUGGGAAUUGAAGAUCCACGAAUUACCUGUGAUGCCCUGAAGAUUGUUUUUGGCUCACUGUACCUGGAUGAAAUUGUCAUUGAGCCAGAUGAUGUGAUCCCUGUGCUGGCGACGGCAACCUUGUUUCAACUGGAUGAACUCAUACAGCUGUGCUCUGAAAUAAUGGAAGAGACAAUCAAGCUGGACACUGUUAUUUCAUAUUACGAAGUUGCUGAACAGUACGCUCUGACACGCCUGAAGCAGAAGUGCUUCGAAUGGCUGGAACGCAAUCUCACGUUCCUUGUCAAUGAGGACGCGAAAACUCUACGGCAGAUUUCCCCUGGCCUCAUGGAGCAGCUGGUCAAAUCACCUAGAUUAGUCGUCGUGCAGACAGAGUUCUCACUCUACCUUAUGGUCACGGCCUGGACUUUUUUGAGGGAGCACCCUUCUUGGGAAGGUGACCUGAAGGAGUGUGCACUGGAAGCACACAAAUACUUUAAGGAGAAAUCAGGAGACUGCUUCACACAGUGUGAAGAAGGCCAGGAAUACACAGAGGUGUACAAGGGCCUGCGAAUUGAGCAUCUCAUCAACCACCCCUUAGACGUGGUGAUGAUAGAGCAGAACAACAUCUACCCAAAAGAGUCUCUGUAUCCUGUGUUCCGUAACCAGUGGUACCAAAUGCUGAGAAUCGACCAAGGCCUCGACAAGGGUCCAAAAAACAUAGCGGAAGAAGAGUUUGACAAAUGCUGCCUGCGUUGUGGCCGAAUCCUUAUGACAGAUGUACAGCACAUUUGGCGGUGGACAGGCUACAACUUUGGGGUGGACCUCAUCGUUACUUACCAAACCAGGACCAUCAAAUUUCGGCGCAAUGACCGGUCAGAGCCUGAAGUGCUACGUUCAAAUGUGGCUUGGGGCCGGAGGCAUCUACUCUACCGGCUUUCAGUGUACACACUGGGGCCCCUAGGUGACGCUGUAUUGCUGGACUCAACAGGUCUUCGGUCACUCACUCUUGGCAGGAAUGCUGAGACCAAAGUGCUCACCAUCGAGAAGGAGUUCAAGCUUCCUAUCAUCAUCAGCGCCAACUUUCUUGUGACCACACCACUCUCCCACGAGACCACUGAGGCUGUGCAGAGCUAACUCGCUACGUGCAGUUUGAUCCCAGUGAACAGCAAAAUGUGUGAAAGGUUACUACUGCAGGACUGCCGGGUUCUGUGUGUGCUAUCUCAUUGCAUGCCGGUGUGUAAAAAUCAAAAUAUUGGCUAGUGGCAUGUACACUUCAUUAACAGUACAAACGACCACCAUUACAGCGAUACAGGAUACAGGGAAACAGGAGCCUGUAAACAGUGCAACUGGAAGGAAAGCAGAAUCAACUGGCUGACCCAUUCGUGGAAUAAGGGAUAUGUGAAAUUCGUUGAGCUGGCUUUUCCUCACGCCUAAGUUGCCCUAACCAAUUAGACCAAGCUCCCGCUUGCAUCACUGCCAGAGCCAAGUAAUAUGUUCUAAAAGCUUGGACUGAGUGAAGGGCGGCAGGGAUGGUGGCACAAGCAUUGAUGCCAUAUUUUUAAUUCUAGUCCAAGGUCCGCCAUCUUGGUCAGGCCAGACAAAUUGUGUGGGGAAGCACACUUGUGGAAUUUGCCGGCACACCACAUAUUGAUCAGCUGGUCACACCAAGAACAACUGCAGCUUGACUGCAUACAAUGCCAAGGUUAAAUUUUGGAGCCAGCGUAGGAGGCACUGCAAUACAUGUCUUUCCUCCUUGGUGCAUGGUUUGGUCCUGUUUCUGUGAAUGCAGCUCCACGAGAUGCAUGUUUUUGUUCAUGCGUUAUUUCUCACGCGAAUGUAGUGGGCUACCUUGUGUCCACGGUCUUCCACCACUGGUGGUCUAUGCCAGGAAUUGGUUUGCAAGGCAGCCCCCUUCCCCUCCUUAGCUGUGCAGUCCCAUGUGUCACAAUUAAAGUUCAUGUUUAUCACAAUCACUUUAUGAUUUAAGUCACAAGUGCAGUGUCAUGCACAGACAUGUUAAAGAGCACAAAAAUAUCGGUAAAUAUAUGUCAUUCACAGAAGUUACCAUUUGGCUGUGUCAUAAAAGCCUUUGCAAAUUCACUCUUGAUAUGAACUACUCGAAAUUCUGAGAGUUUGAUUUAUUGAUCGUGGCACGUAGUUUUCACCUGACACAUUGUUGCUGAUGCCUACAUCACUGACUCUUAUAGUACCAGAUGUUUUAAUUUUUGUUUGCCUCAUCUGUAAAUGUUGGGGCACAUACUGUUGGUGUGCACUUCAAACGCAAACAUCUUUUGCAGUGAGAACUUAUAACUUAAUGAUUUGCUGUGCAAAAAGAAAAAUAGCAUUCUUAGUGAUUCAAUAAGAAUUUUGUCAUGGCUGUAAAAAAUAAAAUGAAAUGUUUGCAUAGGUGCAGUAUUCCCUUGCUCAUGCAAGACAAUGGAAACUUUUUUUCUUAGCAGCCAAUAAAAGUGAUGAAUCAUUUGCAAACAUUCUGCUUGUAAAACAGUUUGUAAAACAAGAAGCUGCAUGAGCAAAAACUCUCCAAGUACUGGCAACAAUCCAAAGGUUAGGAGAUAAACAUUAGGCUGUGUAGCCAACGUCUACACAGCAAGUUUUGUUUGCAGCAUAAAAUUUAUUGCAAUUGCUUUCUUUCUGCAUACUCAAGGGUUUUUGUCAUGGAUGCAAAAACACAAAAAUGUGAUCAGCAUAUAUGGAUCCCAGUGCCAUCAUAGCAAAGGGUGGCAGGUACAUCCCGAUGCCCCAGUUGAUAUGCACCAAGAAUGACAGAGAGAACAAGACUCUUCUAUGAAAAUGUUUACCAGGUGUAGAAUGUUAGAGAUGCUUUUCCAAAGGUGCCUGCAAUUUCUUCUAUGUUAUUAGCUUUUACUCAAACAAAUCUCUCCUGUAGGAAGCAUUUGUAUGCAAGUGGUUCGCACCAGUUGUAAGGCAGAGGAGAAGGGUUACUGGAAAAUGGGCCCAGCUUUACUGGGAAAGCAGCCACAUGUAGGUGGUGCCAAGGUCACACUACAGUGUACUAAAUGGUGCCCAGUGCAGCAAUGUGAUCAUUGCAUGGAUGUGGAACUGAAAUCAGUCACUGCUCAGUGUAAGGCAGUCAGUGUUGGAUCUUGAAGGUCUCUGAGGCAAGCGGGGUAUUUGCACACGUGUCGAAAGGCAAUGUCGUGGUAAAGUUUAACAGAGGUGCAAAGUACUGAUGAAGGGUGCAGGUAGGUGAUAUAAACUUGUCUGGAACAAGGCGAAAGCUUUAUAAAAAAAAAAAAAAAAAAGCCAAGCGUUAGCAACAAAAUCAAGAAAGGAGCGAUAUCUCUAACAAUGGAAGUGGCGAGCAUGACACGAAAAGCAGCCAUGUGCCUUUCAGCAGGCUGAACCAGCGCUUGAACUCUCCCCAAAUUAAUUUUUUUACUUUUGUCUCUUCUGAACGGAAUUUUAGUUCUGUGGAAUUUGCUGAUUACUUUGUAAAUAUUGGCUUAAGAGCACGUAAUAUUGCUGAUGGCAAAUAUAGAGUAGGUUUUAUCGUUCCAGAGGGCCUUCUUUUGUAAAUCAGUUUGUGCACAUCGACUGGGACACCCAGUGUAAAAAUUUGGCCCCUGGGCUUCUCCUAAAUAGUCCAUUUUGCUUCCAGUAAAAUAUUUACGCUUGUUUCUGGCCACAGUGACCUUAACUAACUGGAAGAGUGAGAUUUUACUAGCCCAAUGAAGCACUUAGCGAUUAUAAUUGCUCCCAACAUCAAAGAGUUAUCUUCUAAUGAGCCUGUGUGCAUGAUAAUCUGCCAAGAGGGAAAUAAAGCAAGCUGUGACACAUGUUAGCCUUAAAUAUAAUGAAACCCUCAAAACAAACAUUCUUAAUAUAGGCUUCACAAAAAAAAUUAAUUUAUUAUAAGCCCGAAAUAUUAUGCUAGUAGCCAGAAAGAAGGCAUACUUUUAGUUGGUUUAACUUGCACUGUACAUAUAUCUUGUUACCCUGACGCAGAUUUACCUUCUGUGCUUAACCUUCUCAUCCUAACACUUUUGUCAUCGGUAUUCAUCAGAUCAUCACAUAUGGCUUCAUGUCCCAUGUCACAUUUUUAUUUGUCAAAAGUGAGAGCUGCGAUUUUAAUGUUACUCAUUGUUGUCGGCAAACUUUAGUAUCUGUGAUGCAUGAUUUUUCUUUUUCUGAAUUGCUCUUAGCGUUAUUGUGUUUUCUGGUGUUCUACUAAUGUAAAGAAAAGCAGAACAUGAUUAUGCAAUGCACAUGUGGUAGAUUUUAGUCUAUUUUCCAGUUGUGUGACAGAUGUUUUAUGUAUUUCAAGCUGUGUGUGUGUUUUCUCUAAACAAUCUGUUGUCCUGGUCUACAGUAUUAAUGCGCACAGCAACUGCACAAUAUCCAAGAUGGCAGUUUUUGAGUGACUGAAUCGAUUCUUGAAUACCAGAAAAAUGCUGCUGAUACAGUGUUAAAAUUUUAUUGCAACAGAAAGGUUUUUCUAUAUUUAUUUGCAUGCAGUAAAUUCACAAAAUUUUUAUGCACCCAUUUGGCAUUGCUAGGUUUGUUACCAGUUAUUGGAAUACUAGGCCAGGAUAAUGUAACGAUUAUAUUCUAAUGCCAUUUCUUGUUGCACUUCUUCAGUCGUUGGAGCAGUGCUCCACCUGCAUUUAUUGGCCGGAUCAGCCAGCCAUGAAAGGUGGAUGAUAAGACUGGUGUGGAAUUGAGUGAUAGGAACCACUACAUUAUACUGGCCCUAGUCGACUUCGCUACUGUGGUGUCAUUGUGUUUUGUUAACUUUAACAUGCAAUGGCGGUGGUAUGAAAAUUCAGCACGGAGAUUGUUUAGUGAGCACGAACUACUCAUUCUGCAUGUUUGUGGCAGAAAGGCCGUUUGGUAUUGUGCUGUUUCAGUGCAGAUAUUAACAUCAUUCACGAAAGAGCUUGCCUGUUGAGUGAUUUGAGAUUGAGUUGUACGACUUAUAAUGUGAGAACAAAGUGCCUUGCCUGUGACAAAAUGUUUGGAGUUGCGAUGCUAAGAAUCUGCUUUUGCGAGGUAUUUACAUCUUGUUUCCUUGGUGUUUUUAGACAUACAAGUGUCUUGAAUCAUUUGCAGAAGCAUUCGUCAUGUGAACUGCUGUUUGAAGAUGUUCGUGCUACUUUUAAUGUGUGUGUGCGUAGGUGUGGGAUAAUUUUUUUGUUGUGCUUACGGUUGUGCAAGUGGGUACAUUUCUACAGUUGUGUAGGUGCGUCCAUUUUUACAUUUUGUUGCAAGUCUGAAGGCUUUGACUUGGAUAUAAUACAUAUUAGGCAUUUAGACCAUGAAGCUGCAGGACAAAGGGCAUAAAGUGGGAGUAUAUGUGCUAGUAGCCGGUGACUGAAAUUUAUUUGUAGGUCCUUCUUUUACAGCAUAACAAGUAUACAUUUCACGAGUCACUAAAGUCACUAUUUCAGUAUCUGCAUGAAAUGGACCUCCAUGUUUACACACACUAAUUUCAUUUUCACAUUAUGCCGCAUGGCUAACUAGACGAAUACAAAAAUUAUGCAUGUGUGUGGGCAUAAACAGCAGUAUGUGCUUUUCAGUUGGGAAACAUUCUUUAUUCGCUGUCCUAGUCACUCUUCCCAACAAUUCUAUAUUCAAAGAAAACUGGAGUUAGAAACUAACUUUUCUUUUAGUACUUUUCAUGGGCAAAUAAAAUGCUGUUAGAAGAAAAGAAGUGCAUGAAAGAAAAAAGGCAUUCUUAUUUUUAUCCUUCAAUAUGUAACAGCAUCUUUUCUUGUUUCUUGCAUUGCAAAAAUUUAUAUUGUACAUAUCAUGAAGUCAUUGUGCUCACUUUUUCACCAUAAGCCUGCUCAUGUGUUGCUCUUUUGUGGCUACAUAUAUGUACGCCUUUGUCAUGUUGAGGGGGGGGGGGGGGCAGCUCUUUUAUUAAAUUUAGUUGUUUUAUAGCACCGUUAUAUUUCAUUAUACCUUUUGUCCUGCAUGCUCAUGCUUAAUAGUAUUGCCAACUGGCCUGAAAGCACAUUCUGUUGUGAACAUUUCUCACUAGCAGGUGCAGUUAAAGGUUUUUUUGGUGCAAUGUCACUGAUCUGCCUAAAGAGAUCUAAGGGUCUAAAAAUAGCUGUAUGACUGUUUGCAUUAGCAGCUUGUUCAGCAUUGAGAAGUGACUCUAGCAAAGUCCAUGCACAAAACUUGCAUUUGCAAAGAGCUGAUUCAGAUAGUCAAGUGAGGGGAAUAUUGCAUAAGCAAUGUGCUUUCCAUUUAUGUAUGAUAACAGUGGCUUAUAAGAAGUUUAAAAAGCUGCGACCUGUUAUUUGUUUUAGCAUGUUGUUUAGCAUUAAAAAGUGGCUUUCAAAUCACGCACAACAGUGGUGCCCACAAAUGGUACAGAUGGGUGGUUAUGUGGAGGGAAUCUGCCAGAAGCAGCAGGCUUGUAUUAAAAGAAAACAGGAAUGGCCUAGAAGAAGUAGAAAUCUAGUUCCUGGUGUAGAGGCAAGUUAUUUCUUGGCUUUAUGAAACUGCCACGUUUUUUUUUCACAGCUUCGGAAACAUGGAUAUGCAUGAGCUUCACCGUGAAGGCCACUUAACAUGGUGCACCAGUGCUGGUGACUAUGAUGCAGAGUACAAUUUUGUUCUUGGUUUAGUUACAAAUUUGUUAUUUGCUUAUUUGAGCAAAAUGCACAUAUGCCAUCCACUUUUUCUUACCUAAUGCGGUUGCCUAUAGAUCUUGCCCGUGAUAUAUGCUGGUUUAAGAGCAAAUAAAGAAGAAGAAAAAAGGCAUUCAAACUUUUUAUCUGUACUAAUAAGACCAACCACUGGACAAGUUUAAUAAUCUACUACACUUAGCUAAAAUAUCUAGUAGCAUGUUCUAAUUCCACUUUAUCAUACUUUUGUGCUGUGUUAUAAAGACACAAAGGAGAGCUGCAUAACUUUAUGCAUUUUUACCUUGUAACACAUGUGAUAAACAUUGAAAGGUGUUUCAAGCCACAUAGAAAAGAAUAAAAAAGCUGCCAGUGUGUGAAAUUAGUGUUAUAAAGCCUUAGAAUGUAAAAUACACAAACAUUUUUCUCACCCUUUUUGUUUAUUGCCAGUAUGCACUGUUUCUACUAACAAGCUGAUGCCUGCCUUAAUUUAAGCACCAUUUACUGAUUUAUAUUGACAGUGCAGGUCUUUUGCUUGCAAUAUUUUGUGUUAGUGGACAUUUCUUGCUCCAAAAAGUCCUCCCCCCCCCCAACACUUUUUUUUUGCCUGCGCUGUUCUCAUGUUCUAGUCUGUAUUGCUGAAGCAACAGCAACUUUCAUGCAUGUUGAGCUUCCAUCUUGUUUGGACUGCGCAGACAGUGUUAAUGUGUGUUUGAGUGUGGUUGCAAAUAUUUCAUGUUGUCGUUGAGAGACUGUAUAGCAAAUGACUUGGUGCAUUCUUUUUAGCACUGAGUGACGUAGGAGUGCUGAACUUUUGAAAUAUUUUUCACAGCUCUGACAAGUGCUCCUUUGCUGGCAGAAGUACGCAGACCACAGCAGUUACCAAGAAAUAGUUUCCUUUUGAAAAAGCAUACAUUGUAUAACUUAACAAUGCAGCCUACACAGAUUCAUGUGACUACUGCAAAAGCACCACUUGAUUUCGAACUGGGAGCUGCAAGAAAAACAAAUUUUUUUUUUUAACUGUUGUGGUGUGUGGGCUUUUUCUGGUAUUAGGACAUGUUCUUUUGCUUUUAUUGAUGGAAGGUACUAGCAAUCUGCUGUGCAAUACAUUUGCAAACUAUGUUUGGUGCAAAACUUUUUUUUUCUCGAAGUGUCUUGUUUCAACAGAGUGUUUGCUAGUGCUGGUUCAGAAUAACUGCAAAUAUCACUCGGUGACAGUUGCUUUUGUGUUGUGUUAUUUCUAAUUGCAUGCAGCAUGCAUGCAUAAUGCUAUUAAAAUUGAAAUCAAUGGUAUUCCCGCAAAUUCGUAAUUUGAAUCCUCUGCCGAACCUGCAAGAUUGUUCCUAGUUUGCAUUUUGUUUUCAUUAACCUAGAGGCAUGUUACUUAUUACCUUAAAUAAAGUUGUACUGUGGGGAA